CGGAUAAUGACUCCGGUUUCUCCUGGGAAGCGCAGACAAACUGAAGUUUUUUUCCUCAGGAGAUCCUUCUCUUGGGUAUGUGCCUUGCUCUUUGGCAGGGGUAGUCUUGCUGAUUUGGGGACCACAGGCAAUGCUGGACAUGGGGCCCCCUCUUCCCAGCCUCGACCACCUUCACAGAACGAGCUGUUGUUUUCUUUUUUUUACUUCUAAAAAAACUGCAUCCAAGAAAAAAACUAAUUUUGAAACUACAGGUAAAACAACACUGCUAGGUCUUCUAUGAAUUAUGUUCAUGACCUUAACAUACUGCAAACUUUUUUAAAACAGUGUAUAAUAAAUUUGCCUUCAACAUCAGAGUCCUAUGAUUAAGUGGUUUCUCACUUAGAUGUCAACAUAGAUAUUUUCAUUAUUUAACGUGAAGAUAACCGAAAACGAUUCUUCCAAAAAGUGGAUUUAUUUAUUGACGCUUCUGGCAAAGAAAUAUGUGAUUACUCUUUGAUGUGCUUCCAAUCUGGAAAUCUUUAAUAGUAUUGCAAAACCGAUAUGUAUUGACGUUUGUUACGUUUAACAUUUCAUUAUGUGGAUUUGUUCUCUUGGUACAAGAAUAUACAUUGGUAUAAUGUUCCUUCUUUUUAAUUGGAUAUAUUAAUUUACUAUCUAUUUGAUUUAGCUGAGUUUGCUUUGAUGUUUGUUUACAGUGAACUACUUCUAUUAAUUGGUGUAAUUAAAGUUAUAAACACAUUA